rnacentral:lncRNA from 1 species
CGAGUUUGUAAUAAAGAUGUAGAAAAAAAAGUAGAAUUCUUGCACCAAGAUCUCCUUCCUCUUUCAAUAAAUGCUUCUAAUCUUCAAUUGUUUGAUGUUAAUCUUUUUGAAUUUCUCUUUUUAAUCUCCUUUCUUGUUGUCUUCUCUCCAAUAUGUCACCCUUCAAAGGUAUGAGAAAGAUGUAUUUAUAGGUGUCCCUCCGUUUUAUGUAGAAGUACGGUUUGUAUGGAUUUAAAAACGGGCCCUAGAUAUUCAAUCGCAGCGCCUAGGCGCUGAUGAUAGCGCCUAGGCGCUAUGGUUGCGACGCCUAGGCGCUGCCUUUCGGGUCUAAAUUUCAUCUUUUUUUCAAUUUCGUAGCGUCUAAGCGCUAUGAAUACAGCGCCUAAGCGCCGUCUUUCUGUCCCAAUCCCGUGUUUUUGGCCUCUUCGUCCACUUGAAUACCUUUUUUCACAUCGCUUCUCCUAAUCUUCAAAACAAUACUAACAAACAUAUCAAAAACGUUCUAUACUCACAAGAUCUAGCAUUUAAUCAAGCUAAAAUUGUGCAAAAAUCAUAAGUGAAACAAACUCAUCACUCGAUAUUUUUCAAAUUUCAAGAGUUAUGCUAGUGAGUAACGUACAGUAUAUUCCAAAAUCCAGUGAUCAAAACUCGAUAUUUUAAACUUCAGUGAACAAUCAAAGACAUGGACCUAAAUUCAGUGACCAAAACUCGACAAUUUAAAGUUUAGUGACCAAUCCAAGACAUAGAUCUAAGUUCAUUGACCAAAAUUCGACAUUUUUCAAAAUUCAGUGGCCAAAAUUCGAUGGUCAAUCAAAGACAUUGACCUAAGUUCAGU